rnacentral:rRNA from 1 species
UACGGAGGGGGCUAGCGUUGUUCGGAAUUACUGGGCGUAAAGCGCACGUAGGCGGCUUUGUAAGUUAGAGGUGAAAGCCCCGGGGCUCAACUCCGGAAUUGCCUUUAAGACUGCAUCGCUAGAAUUGUGGAGAGGUAAGUGGAAUUCCGAGUGUAGAGGUGAAAUUCGUAGAUAUUGGGAAGAACACCAGUGGCGAAGGCGGCUCACUGGACUGGUAUUGACGCUGAGGUGCGAAAGCGUGGGGAGCAAACAGG